GUGAAAACAGCGCUUAUAAAUAGGUUAGUUAAGUUUCACUUUCAGUUUUCGUUAUUUGUUUCUCCGCUGGCUUGCGUUUUACCGGUAAUAAGCAAACACACACGGUAUGAUAACCGUGCAUUUUAAUACCACGGUAUACCGUGAAACCGGUUACCGCUGCAACCCUA